ACUGCGGUCCGUCCCCACGAAGGACGCCUGCGCCGCUGCAAGGCACAAACUACUGCUGCGCAUGCGCCCAGAGAGGCCUCAGGCGCACCCAGCGCAGCGAGGGACCAGAAGCGCAGCCGCGUCGGGGAUGCCUCCACUUCCGGGACAAUCCGGCCAAGGCAGCAGUGUGGGAACGGAAAACUCUUCACUGGGUCGGGGCGGGGGCAGUGGGGAAGGACUGGCUGCCCCGCUGUGCAGAAAAAGGAGGCCCCCAGAGAUCAGGUCCUCUGUAUUUGGCUCAAUGACCAGCAGAGAACGCCACUCAGGA